CGAAUCAAGGGAAGCGUGCCGGUGCAGGCAAGAGACCACCGUAAGCGUCGUUGCGACCAAAUAAGCGCCGAUUCACAUCAGCGCGACUACGCUCUCGCUGCCUAAGCGACGGCUAGUCUGUCAGACCGGGAACGCCCUCGGCCCGGACCCUGGCAUCAGCUAGAGGGAUCCACCGAUGAGUCCGGUCGCGGACUCCUCGGGACAACCACAGCGACUGGGAUCGUCAUCUCGGCUAGUUCGCGUGACCGGGAGAUCCGAGCAGAGGCAUAGCGAACUGCGCACGGAGAAGCCUUGAGGGAAUGCC
rnacentral:misc_RNA from 1 species